AGUGACUUAAUACAAUACACAGGGCAGUGUUUGGUGCUUUGUGUGUGUCUGUGUGACCCUCAGUGACCU
ensembl:miRNA gmo-mir-11199 gmo-mir-11199